UGCCGGUGACAAACCGGAGGAAGGUGGGGAUGACGUCAAAUCAUCAUGCCCCUUAUGACCUGGGCUACACACGUGCUACAAUGGACGGUACAAAGAGCUGCAAGACCGCGAGGUGGAGCUAAUCUCAUAAAACCGUUCUCAGUUCGGAUUGUAGGCUGCAACUCGCCUACAUGAAGCUGGAAUCGCUAGUAAUCGCGGAUCAGCAUGCCGCGGUGAAUACGUUCCCGGGCCUUGUACACACCGCCCGUCACACCACGAGAGUUUGUAACACCCGAAGUCGGUGGGGUAACCUUUUUGGAGCCAGCCGCCUAAGGUGGGACAGAUGAUUGGGGUGAAGUCGUAACAAGGUAGCCGUA
rnacentral:rRNA from 1 species